GGGUAGUGUGUUGUUAGAAUAGGAGUCAGGUACAAUAGGCGACGGUGUUGGAGUAUUAGGCAUAGUAGGCGUAGUAGAUGUAGAAGGUGUAGAGAUUGGUAGUGCAGGGUCUGAGGCAGUAGGAACGGUUACUGGUGUUGAGGAUGCUGGAGCGUCUACUGGAAGAAACCACUCGUCAGUUGUGAACUCCAGUUGUGAUACUUGAGGAUGGUCCUGGCUAGUAAUGCCCGAAAACUCUUCUUCGAGGAAGACCACAUCUCGGCUAAUAAAGAAUUUGUUUGUCUCCACGUCAUAUAGGUACCAUCCUUUCUUUCCGUGGGGGUAUCCAACAAAGAGGCAACGACGGCUACAAUCACCAAAUUUGUCUUUAUCGCGGUGUCUGCGAU
rnacentral:lncRNA from 1 species